rnacentral:rRNA from 1 species
UACGAAGGGGGCUAGCGUUGCUCGGAAUUACUGGGCGUAAAGGGCGCGUAGGCGGCGCUGUUAGUCAGGCGUGAAAUUCCUGGGCUUAACCUGGGGACUGCGCUUGAUACGGCAGUGCUAGAGGGUGGCAGAGGGUCGCGGAAUUCCCAGUGUAGAGGUGAAAUUCGUAGAUAUUGGGAAGAACACCGGUGGCGAAGGCGGCGACCUGGGCCAUUACUGACGCUGAGGCGCGACAGCGUGGGGAGCAAACAGG